GGAGUUAGCUGAGUAGUCGCGCAAGCUUUGCUUGUGAGGAAAGUCCGGGCUCCACAGGGCAGGAUGCUGGGUAAUACCCAGCGGGACUGGUGUAAAAGCUAAUCCCAGCGCUAGUGCAACAGAAAAUAUACCGCCAGGAUUUUAUAUAUCCUGGUAAGGGUGAAAUGGUGAGGUAAGAGCUCACCAGCAGUCUGGUGACAGGCUGGCUUGGUAAACCGCAUCCGGAGAAAGGCCAAAUAGGGAAGUAUAAGGUGGCCCGCCUUCUUCCGGGUUAGGCCGCUAGAGGUAAAUAGUAAUAUUUAUCCCAGAUGGAUGACUACUGGUGCUUAUGAUUAAACUCAUAGGUAUUACAGAACUCGGCUUACAGGCUAACUCCAACU
rnacentral:RNase_P_RNA from 1 species